rnacentral:lncRNA from 1 species
UAAUAUUACUCCUUGGGCCAAAACUGGUAGCUCAAUACAUCCAUUUAACAAAUUUUGUCACAUAGCAAUCUAAGAGAACAUCACCACCCCAAGAAAGGUCCAAAUUCAAUUGAGAAACGAUUUGAAAAGCUCAUUGACGCAUAACCAAGAACCAACAUGUUUUUCUAUACAAACAAGCAAGUGUGUACUUACCAAAACUCCAUCCUAUUCAAUUUGGUUAUUUAACAUGAACCAUUACUGAAUUCAAACUAACGUAUGAAGAAAUAACCUACCAACUAAAUAGGGCCAAAAUCAGACCCAAAAUUUAAGGCUAAUAUUUCCAAAUAAGACAAGCAUCAUAACAUUUCCUGCUUUUACUUACAUGAUCAAACACAAUAGUAGGCCUCCAUUAACACUUGAAAAUCGAGACAACACUACUAUACAUCCUAUAGAUUAGUCCCUAGUGAUAUGCGUAUUUCAAUAAUAACGAGAGUUCAACUAUUACAACUAAAAUUCAACUAUACAUUUUUAACAAAAAACCUGAAAAUGCAUACUAAACCUGCACCAACAGCUUACUCUAAAGGCAGUAAAAUCCCUGUAACUUCAAUAAUCAAAGAAACCACUCAAGUUGAAUGAACUACUACUACAUUUGACUAAAGAGAUCCCCAUUGUAAACAAUAAAUGCAAAACCAUUUAAACAACACUAGAGCUUAGAAUGACAACCUAAAUUCACAUAGAAGAGGAUUCAAACAGUAAGUUUAAUACAUCAAAGGAAAACAUGAUUGAUCCCUAUAGAACAUAUGACUUUGUUUAAACUCAUUCUCAUUCAUAUGCAAGCUCAAGUUAUUUACAUAGCUUUGAUAUGAAAUUCACAUGUUAAUGAGAUUCGGGAGAUACCUGGAAAUCAAAAGAUAAACAGAAUGAGUAAAUAAUAAACCGAGCAGCAACAGAACAACCCCCAGAUUCAAUGAAACAGUAACCCCAAUAGAAAAACUCAAAACCAAGCUUCACGAAAACCAGCCUCAAGCCAUUGGAACCGAGACGCAGGACUUUGAUUUUUCUAGAAGAAUGUUUUUCUAACCAGAUGAAGCCAGAAAAUAAGAAAUAUGCAGGAUUUAAGUGUUUUUCUAAACGAUAAAUAUAGGGAAUUCCAGACUUCUCUCAAAGAACCUAACCGCUUAGUUUUCAGGAAAUUUUGUCUCUUCCUCUUUUUUCUUGAAUAUCAAGUUAGGGCGCCUUUACAGGCAAGGUACUAAGACAUCCUAAAAGAAUUCAAUUUUACAUUUAAAACCUUUUUGAAUUUUAGUUUUAGCUCACAUACCCCUAAUGUAAAUUUCAGAAUUUCAGAAUAGCCCCAAACCCCCAUUCCUAGAAACUUCCUUAAUCUGUUACACCCAGAUUCCCUAUACCAAUUACCUAGAAUACCCCUCAUACCCCUAUUUUACUACAAGGAACCCAAACGAAUAUGAGUCAAGUCAACCCAAUGACUUGACUAAAUGAACGGGCUACCUUGUUUCUGUAAAUGGGUCAGAAAACCAAAGCCCAAACAAAAUAACCCAAAGCAUAUUAUAAUCUCAUGGAAAGCAGAGGAAAACAACACAUAAAUGAUUUCAAACAAAUUAAAAAUGUAAACCGAAUGGAGUGUUAACUAAUUAACUAAACUAACAAAUUCAAACUAACUAAUUAAAUAGACUUAAUUCAUUGAUUAAAGGAAAAAUGACUUAAGACUAACAUGCAUAUAAAAACGUACCUAAAGAAACUAGAAAAAUUAAGAGGAAUCAAGAAGAAGAGAAGAAGCAUAAAAACAGAAAAAGAAAAAUGAAGAAAAGAUUGAACCAAAUAGAAAAAGAAAAGAAAAAUACCUACCAAAGCUCGGACAAUGAAGAAUGGAUCCUGAGUCUUCAAAUCCUCCGAUUUUUGGCAAAUUAGAACAAAAAUCUUGAUUUGGGAUUGUUUGGGUUCAUUUUCGAUCUAAAAUUCGAGAAGUUCCGGGGGGAUUCGAAGCAAAUGGAGUAAGGAUUUGGAAUGAGGGGGUAUUGGGGGUUAUAGGGUGUUAUUUUUAGGGUGAUUGGAGGUGGCGCCACUAGGCUCAAGGUGGUAAGAAUUAGGGCAGCUAUUAGGGUUCAUGGUGAGUCUCUGACAGGUGAGGUUCGAGAGAUAUGAGUGAGCUAGGGGGGAAGGUUUUCCGGCAUUUAAAUACUAAAAUCGAGUGAGUUCU